AUGAGAAUCAGAUACUUGGCUUAAUAAUUUUCAUUUAAAAUGUCUAAUUUGGAUAUAAUUCGGAAUACAAAACAAAACUUAAAAGGUAUUGAAAACAACAACGUUCAAAAAAACAAUGUGGAUUUCAAUAGAAAGACUAUUUCCACCGACAAUCAGGAUUUCCGGUAUGACCACUGUUAUUUUGACGAUUUUUCUAUCGGUUCGUCGGUAAGCGUGACCACAUGUGACAACAGCGAUGCUAGUUGGAUAUAAAAUUGGUAGACGUGUCGUUGAACUCGACACAUUGACGGAAUCGCUUUUAGCAUGCAGUGCUUGUCAAGUGCCCAUGAAUUUACUUAACACUGUAGAAAGCAUGGAUUUCGGACAGGCAUGUGUUUUGGACAUACAGUUUAGCAAUUGUGGUGCAGUAAACAAUGCGGCUACUGGACGGAAACAUGGCAGAGUUUAUGACAUGAUCACAAAGCUUGCAUUUGGGUAAAUCAAAAACUGGGUGUUUCACCUGGGACUUUCACAUCGAAACUGGCCCUUCUCCAUGACCUUCAGCACAAAAAAAGAAA